GCGACGCCGCCAGCUGCCUCGCCCCGCCGCCGGGUCACCUGUCCCAGAACCCAGGGCCGCCGCCCUUCUCGCGAGACUGCCGGGCCUGAGAUGUCCCUAUUGGGCGGGCUCGCCGCUGCUCAACGCCCCACUCGCCGGAACUUCCGGCCCCGCCCCGGGCACUAGGCGAGGAGGUGGCCGGUAUUCUGGAUCACUGCGUGUCUUGGGGAGCUUGGGAUUCCGCAGCUUGGCGGCCGAGAGCCUUUGUUUGCCUUUUUGAGACAGGGUUUCCCUCUCUCGCCCAGGCUGGAGCGCAGUCAUGCGGUUACGCCUCACUGCAGCCUCAGCUUCCCAGGAUCAAGCGGCCCUCCCACCUCAGCCUCCCGGGUAGCUGGGACCGCAGGCGCUCGCCGCUGCCUGUGGCUAAUUUUUAAACAGUUUUUUGAAAUGGGGUCUCGCUUUGUUGCUCAGGUUGGUCUCGAACUCCUGGCAUCAAGCGUUCCUCACGUCUCAGCCUCCCAUAGUGUUGGAAUUACGUGCAUGAGCCACUGCAGGCAGUCGGACUAAGGGAGUUUAAACAAAGAAGCCGGAGCCUGGCCCUCUUCGGGCUUCGGUGGGGCCCAGUAGGCAGCCAAAACUCACACUGAGACGGCGGCUGCUCUCCAGGCGGGUUUGCUCAGGCUGCCCCCGUGCUCCCUGCCCUGGGCUUCAGUCCUGGAGAGGACCCGGUUUCUCAACCCGUGCAUCGUUGGCACUUUGAGCGACGGGACUGUCCUGUGCGUUGCACGAUGUUCAGCAGCAGCUUUGGCCUCUGCUAUCCACUAGGGGCCAGUUCCACCCCCUAGCACCUCAGGUUAACAACCGAAAAUGUCUUCUAGACUUUGCCGAAGGACUCCUGGGGGCAAAUACGCCCCCAUUGAGACUCACUGGCUUAGAACAAGGCAAGCUCCAGCCUGUUUCAGGCUUUCCCAGAGACUGCCCCUACACCAUCUAUGGUUGCAUGGCUGGCUUCUCAUCCUUCAACCUUCCACCGAAGUGUUGACUUCAGAGAAACAUUUUUUUCACUAGCCUGUCCAAGGCCCGAGUAUCCCAUUCCAUCAUGUUACUCUUUUCUCCUUAUUACCUGUUACAUUUUUUAAUUUAUUCGUUUAUCUCCCCAACCUGCAUGUGUUAACAGGUGUAAGCUUCCUGAUGGCAGGAUUCUCUUGUGUUUUGUUCCUCACUGUGCCCCCUGCCUCUGGGACAGCGCCUGGCACAUAGUGGAGUGAAAGAGUGCCGCCCAAAAAUGGCCCUCAGCAUGGCUUCAGAAAUUGAGACCCCGGCCUGGGAUGGUGGCUCACGUCUACAAUCCCAGCACUUUGGGAGGCCGAGGCGGACGGAUCACGAGGUCAAGAGAUCGAUACCAUCCUGGCCAACAUGGUGAAACCCCGUCUCUACUAAAAAUACAAAAAUUAGCUGGGCGUGGUGGCAGGCGCCUGUAGUCCCAGCUACUCAGGAGGCUGAGGCAGGAGAAUCGCUUGAACCAGGGAGGCAGAGGUUGCAGUGAGCCGAGAUUGUGCCACUGCAUUCCGGCCUGGUGACAGAGUGAGACUUCGUCUCAAAAAAAAAAAAAAAGACAAAAAAAAAAGAAAUUGAGACCCCGGCCUGGGAUGAUGGCUCACGCCUAUAAUCUCAGCACUUUGGGAGGCUGAGGCAAGAGGAUUGCUUGAGCCCGGGAGGUAGAGGCUGCAUUCAGCAGUGAGGGCAUCACUGCACUCCAGCCUGGGUGACAUAGUGAGACCCUGUCUCAAAAAAAAAAAAAAAAAAAGGCAAGAAAGAAAGGAAUCGUGAUCCACAGCUGCUGCAAUGAUUCAAUUAGUGUAAGACCACCUCCUCUUCCUUCAUCAUUCCCUCCAGCUAAGAUGAGGGUGGAGCCAGUAGCUGGGAAGUUGGCUUGCCAGUAGGUCAUCUGGAGAAGUAAUCCUGCCAAGAUCACACCACAGGGCCUGUCCUGUGACCUGUUUUGACCAAGAGAAUACAUCAAAAGUGUCUCUGGGCCUGGUCUGGGCACAGGCUUAAAGUCUGACACCUUCCACUUUCAUGACUGGGGUGUCCGGAGCCAUCAUAUUAGACGUCCACCUGCCUUCCAUCAUAUGUUGAGGAGGAGUCUGCAACUAUGUGGAGAGGGGAUUCUCAGCAUUCCAGAUGACCUGCCUACUGAAUGCAGCCAUGUGAAGACCAGCAGAAGAACCACACAGCUGAGCCUCAACCCAGAUAGCAGAAUUGUAAACAAAUAACAUGGUUGUUCUUUUAAGCCACUAAAUUCUGGGGCAGUUUAUUAUGUAGCAACAGGUAAUGGAAACACAUUUGCUUCCCCCUGUAGCCACAAUCUGCUGACACUCAGCAGCAGCCACUGUCUUUAGAUGGCAGACACUUUCUAGCUUUCCUAAACCCUCCCCACUCACUAUUGUCUUAUUUUUGUUAUCAUAGAGAAAAUUCUCCAUAUCUGCAUAGUCCAGCGCAGGAGCCACUAGCUAUGUGUGGCUAUUGAAACUAGUUAAAAUUAAAUAAAAUGAAAAAUUCUGUUCCUCAGUUACACUAGCCAUAUUGCAAGUGGUUUGUGGCUAGUGGCUACCGUAUUGGACAGCAUAGUCUAUUUCACACCAUCAUUGCAGUAACUUCUAUCAGCAACCCCAUUCUUUUUUUUUUUUUUUUUUUUUUUGAGACGGAGUCUUGCUCUGUUGCCCAGGCUAAAGUGCGAUAGUGCCAUCUCGGCUCACCAUUACCUCCACCUCCCAGGUUCAAGUGCUUCUCCCGCCUCAGCCCCCCAAGUAGCUGGGAUUACAGGCAUCUGCCAUCAUACCCAGCUAAUUUUUAUAUUUUUUAUAGAGGUGGGGUUUUACCAUGUUGGCCAGGCUGGUGUUGAACUCCUGAAGUCAGGUGAUCUGCCUGCCUUGGCUUCCCAAAGUGCUGGGAUUACAGGCUAGAGCCACCACGCCCGGCCAGCAACUCCAUUCCGUACUAAAAUGUAAUGGAUAUGAUUGACUAAUUAGCCAACAUCCAUACUCUUUCUUUUUCCAAACAAUCCUGAUUCUCUUCACAUAUUUGUCUUCCUUAACCCACCCCUGUCCCCACCAGCUUCCCAUGUAGCUCAGGAGAACCUGACUUCAUCCUUGUUCCCAGAUAGAACUAGCCCACACCAGUACUAGUCUCAUGCCUCUUCAUGGUGACCAGUUCAGGAACGCAGACUCUAACCUUUCAGGACACGAAAUUUCCCUGGUGCCUGCGGUUACUGACCCAGCAGUGGACAAAUGAGGUAAGUUGACCCAGUCAGACUAGAGGCAAGGCCACUUAUUGGCUGACUGUGGGCGAGGCACAUGCUCCCAAACUGGAUGUGAGUUAGGAAACCUGCAGCUCUAAUAGCUCCUGAUGGCUAUUGACAACCAUGAGAUGAACCAGCUUAGGAUGAGACUGACUUGGGGGAUGGCACAGGAGACUCAGGGAGAAGUGAGAUAAUAAGUCUUAACAUUGUUUAAGCCACUGUGUUGGGUUUUCUGUUAUUUGUAUUACUUGUGGCCCCAAGCCACCUAUCAUAAUUCUAUCAAAAAUGGAAAAAAUAAAAGAACUGGAAGGCUAGGGCAGGAGAAUUGCUUGAACCCAGGAGGCAGAGGUUGCAGAGAGCCGAGAUCGCACCACUGCAUUCAGCAUGGGCGACAGGGUGAGACUCCGUCUCAAAAAAUAAAAAAUAAAAAAAUUAAGGAACAAGA